rnacentral:rRNA from 1 species
ACUCAAAUGAAUUGACGGGGGCCCGCACAAGCGGUGGAGCAUGUGGUUUAAUUCGACGCAACGCGAAGAACCUUACCUGGGUUGGAACCCUCUCAAAUCCCCAAGAGAUUGGGGAGUGCCCUUCGGGGAAUGGGAUGUUCAGGUGCUGCAUGGCUGUCGUCAGCUCGUGUCGUGAGAUGUUGGGUUAAGUCCCGCAACGAGCGCAACCCUUGUCUCUAGUUGCCAGCGGUUCGGCCGGGCUACUCUAGAGAGACCGCCGGUGUCAAACCGGAGGAAGGUGGGGAUGACGUCAAGUCCUCAUGGCCCUUAUGCCCAGGGCUACACACGUGCUACAAUGGCGAUUACAACGGGCCGCAACACUGCGAAGUGAAGCCAAUCUCUAAAAAAUCGCCUCAGUUCAGAUAGAAGUCUGCAACUCGACUUCUUGAAGUUGGAAUCGCUAGUAAUCGGAGAUCAGAACGCUCCGGUGAAUACGUUCCCGGGCCUUGUACACACCGCCCGU